AGUCUACUAACUCUGGGCACUGUUAUUCGCAAGCUCAGCAAGGGAAGAAAUGGGCAUGUUCCUUACCGAGAUUCGAAGCUAACCCGCAUUCUGCAGUCCUCC